rnacentral:lncRNA from 1 species
UUGAAUGAAGCAUUAUACAUACAUUAGACAUGGCCACGGGCCGGGUCUGACCCGGACCCGACCCGGACCCGGCCCGUUGACUGCCCCGGCCCGCCCCGGCCCCGCCCCAUUGACCAUGGACCCGGACCCGGACCCGGCCAAGUCCGGGUCGGUUUCGGGUCUCGAUUAUGUGGACCCGGGACCCGACGGGUCUACCCGGCGGGGGGACCCGAGGGCCCGGCCCGAGGACCCGGCGGGUCAACCCGGAAAUAUCCGGUUUUUUAUGUCCAAAAAUGCACAUUCCGAGUUUCGAACUCGGGGCAAUUGGGAAGAAAGACGAGCUCUUUACCACUGGGCCAACCAACAUAAUUGAUAAAUAAUAGACAAUAAAUAUAUAUAAUAUACAAAUAUGGUAUAAAUGAUAAAUAUGUUAAAUAAAUUAAUAAUUUUCAUAUUAAUUAUUAUUGAAUAAUUUUAAUUAAAUAAUUAACAAAUGUAAUAUAAGAAAAAAUAUAUAUAAUCACGGUUCAAUACUUUAAAACAUCUAUUAUUAAUUAAUAUAUCAAUAUAAUCUCCACUAUUGAAAAAUAUAAAGUAUUGAAUCAAUUCACUUAUGUUAUUAAAAUCGAUAGUGUGAAAAAAUCGAUUGAAAAAUAAAAUAAUAUGUUUAUUUAAAAAAAUAGAUUAUAACUCAUUUCAAUUAAUUUAAAUCGAUUUACCUCAAUUAUUGACAAGAACUUAUUAAUAUUAUUGAGGAUUUUAUUAUAAGAUAAUUAUUUAAAAAUAUAAAUGAUGUUUGUUUUAACAAAAAUAGAUUAUAUCUCAUUUCAAUUAAUAUUCUUACUUUAAAAAUAACAUUAUAUAUGACUAGUAUAAUCAAAAUAUUAUAAUGUGGUUUCUCUUUAAAUAAUUGGUUUAGUUUGUAAAAAUCGUAAGAAUUAAAUCGUAGAUCAUAUGAUUUAAUCUUUUUUUUUUACAUUUACAUUUUAUUCAAAUAUUAGAAUCGAAUCGAAUCGUAAGAUUUAAAUGGAUUAAUCUAAAGUCCUUUUAAUUUUGAUAUUAUAUUUGUUAAUAAUGUAAUUAAAAUUAUUUAAUAAUUAUGAAUAUGAUAAUUAACAAUCCAUUUAACAUUAUUUAUUAAAUCAUUUUAUACUGUGUAUAUAUGUUAUAUUUAUAUUUCUUGCAAGUAAUUUAUCAAAUAUUUAUCUUGUCACAGUGGCUCGGAUUCGUUUUCAAGUGCUUUACAACCCGGGUUCGAACUCCAUCCCAAGCAUAUUUUGGAAAAUAAUUUCAAAAUCCGGUUCGGACCCGGCCCGACCCGGAACCGACCCGGACCCGGGUGGACCCGAGUGGACCCGCCCCGGACCCGGACCCGCCUCCCCGCGGGUCGGUUUCGGGUCCUCCAAAACUCGGACCCGGACCCGGCGGGUCCGACCCGGACCCGGACCCGGCCCGACCCGGGGCCGUGUCUAACAUACAUGCAUUAUUAUACAUACAGGUGUAUGUAUGUAUAACAUGGUGGUGGUGAUGGUGGUGGGGUGGUGUCAGAGAGGUGGCAGAAGGAACUCGUGAAAACCGCCAUCGGUGGCGGGGAGGUGUCAUUAUUACUUAUUGGCAUAUAUUAUCAUUACUUUUUUUCUAUUUUUUACUGUCCUUUUUUUUGCUUUUCUCUUUUCCAGACAUUUAUUUUGUAAUUAAUUAUUAUUAUAAACUAUUCCCUGCCGAAAAAUGCCAAUCACAAUAAUGGCUGGUUUUUGUUUCCAAGAUUUUCACUUUUAUUAUAUGUGAAUUUAUCCUAGGGCAAUUAAUUCAAACCUAGGGGGCAUUUGGCUAACUUAUAAG